rnacentral:rRNA from 1 species
UACGGGAGGCAGCAGUGGGGAAUAUUGCACAAUGGGCGCAAGCCUGAUGCAGCCAUGCCGCGUGUAUGAAGAAGGCCUUCGGGUUGUAAAGUACUUUCAGCAGUGAGGAAGGCGGGUACGUUAAUAGCGUGCUCGUUUGACGUUAGCUGCAGAAGAAGCACCGGCUAACUCCGUGCCAGCAGCCGCGGUAAUACGGAGGGUGCGAGCGUUAAUCGGAAUUACUGGGCGUAAAGCGCAUGCAGGUGGUUUGUUAAGUCAGAUGUGAAAGCCCGGGGCUCAACCUCGGAAUUGCAUUUGAAACUGGCAGACUAGAGUACUGUAGAGGGGGUAGAAUUUCAGGUGUAGCGGUGAAAUGCGUAGAGAUCUGAAGGAAUACCGGUGGCGAAGGCGGCCCCCUGGACAGAUACUGACACUCAGAUGCGAAAGCGUGGGGAGCAAACAGGAUUAGAUACCCUGGUAG